ACGCUCGACACCUACGGGCAGCAGUGGGGAAUAUUGCACAAUGGGGGAAACCCUGAUGCAGCGACGCCGCGUGAGCGAAGAAGUAUCUCGGUAUGUAAAGCUCUAUCAGCAGGGAAGAAGAUGACGGUACCUGACUAAGAAGCACCGGCUAAAUACGUGCCAGCAGCCGCGGUAAUCUGAGCGGGCUGGCAAGGC
rnacentral:rRNA from 1 species